AUGCAUCUAUCUGACAGACCGGGAGCAGUUAUACUACCUGCUGCUAAGGUUUCCACUACAGAUGCAAGAAAAACAUGUCCUUGCGCUUUCCGUCUGUCUAAUUUGUGGCAGCUGAGAUUGAAUAGAGGAAUACAGGG
ensembl:snoRNA SNORA31B small nucleolar RNA, H/ACA box 31B